rnacentral:rRNA from 1 species
UUACCUGGGCUUGAAAAGCAAGCGACCGGAUGUGAAAGCAUCUUUCCAGCAAUGGCGCUUGUACAGGUGCUGCAUGGCUGUCGUCAGCUCGAGCCGUGAGGUGUUGGGUUAAGUCCCGCAACGAGCGCAACCCCUACUGUUAGUUACCAUCAGGUUAAGCUGGGUACUCUAACAGGACUGCCUACGCAAGUAGUGAGGAAGGUGGGGAUGACGUCAAGUCCGCAUGGCCCUUACGCCCAGGGCCACACACGUGCUACAAUGGACGAUACAAUGGGUUGCCAAACCGCGAGGUGGAGCCAAUCCCAUAAAGUCGUCCUCAGUUCGGAUUGGAGUCUGAAACUCGACUCCAUGAAGUUGGAAUUGCUAGUAAUCGCGCAUCAGCACGGCGCGGUGAAUACGUUCCCGGGCCUUGUACACACCGCCCGUCAAGCCAUGGAAGCCAGGGGUACCCGAAAUCAGUGAUCUAACCGCAAGGAAGAAGCUGCCUAAGGUAAAACUGGUGACUGGGGCGAAGUCGUAACAAGGUAGCC